GCCGACAACCUGCCUAAUCCCGCCUGCUGCGCGCGCGGGAGCGGGGGACCCAGAGGGCUCAGAGGCCCAGGGGCGAAUCGGACACACAGGUCCGUAGCGCGACUCUUCAGCGCGAGCCCGCCAGCUAACCCCGCAGGCGAUCCGAAGAGAGGUC
rnacentral:sRNA from 2 species